GAUGAAGAACGUAGCGAAAUGCGAUAAGUAAUGUGAAUUGCAGAAUUCAGUGAAUCAUCGAAUCUUUGAACGCACCUUGCGCCCUUUGGCUAUUCUGAAGGGCAUGCCUGUUUGAGUAUCAUGAACACCUCAACUCUCAUGGUUUGCCAUGAUGAGCUUGGACUUUGGGGGUCUUGCUGGCCUACGGUCGGCUCCUCUCAAAUGAAUCAGCUUGCCAGUGUUUGGUGGCAUCACGGGUGUGAUAACUAUCUACGCUUGUGGUUUCCCACCAGGUAACCUUCAGUGAUGGAGGUUCGCUGGGGCUCAUAAAUGUCCCUCCACAGUGAGGACAGCUUUUGAACGUUUGAUCUCAAAUCAGGUAGGACUACCCGCUGAACUUAAGCAUAUAAAUAAGCGGAGGA
rnacentral:misc_RNA from 1 species